AGUGAACGCUGGCGGUAGGCCUAACACAUGCAAGUCGAACGGCAGCACAGAGGAGCUUGCUCCUUGGGUGGCGAGUGGCGGACGGGCGAGGAAUACAUCGGAAUCUACUCUGUCGUGGGGGAUAACGUAGGGAAACUUACGCUAAUACCGCAUACGACCUACGGGUGAAAGCAGGGGACCUUCGGCCCUUGCGCGAUUGAAUGAGCCGAUGUCGGAUUAGCUAGUUGGCGGGGUAAAGGCCCACCAAGGCGAAGAUCCGUAGCUGGUCUGAGAGGAUGAUCAGCCACACUGGGACUGAGACACGGUCCAGACUCCUACGGGAGGCAGCAGUGGGGAAUAUUGGACAAUGGGCGCAAGCCUGAUCCAACCAUACCGCGGGGGUGAAGAAGGCCUCCGGGUUGUAAAGCCCUUUUGUUGGGAAAGAAAUCCAGCUGGCUAAUACCCGGUUGGGAUGACGGUACCCAAAGAAUAAGCACCGGCUAACUUCGUGCCAGCCGCCGCAGUAA
rnacentral:rRNA from 1 species